GCCUGGGUGGCUCAGUUGGUUGAGCGUCCGACUUCGGCUCAGGUCAUGAUCUCACAGUUCGUGGGUUCAAGCCCCGCAUCUGGCU
rnacentral:tRNA from 1 species